UCAACAUGGAUACCCUGGGAGAUCACUCUCCCCAGCUCUGUCCUAGUACCAGAGGGUAGCAGGGGGCUCGGCCCAUGAUAUACAGGCCCUUUCCACAACACUGGAAGUGAAACUGGCCUCUCAGCCAGGGCUGCACAUUCCUACGACUUUCCAGAGUCCUGUGGGCAAUGACUAAGGAGGCGAAGCAUGCAGGAAGCAGGC